rnacentral:rRNA from 1 species
ACCUACGGGGGGCAGCAGUGGGGAAUAUUGCGCAAUGGGGGAAACCCUGACGCAGCAACGCCGCGUGAGUGAUGAAGGCCUUCGGGUUGUAAAGCUCUGUCUUUUGGGACGAUUAUGACGGUACCAAAGGAGGAAGCCACGGCUAACUACGUGCCAGCAGCCGCGGUAAUACGUAGGUGGCAAGCGUUGUCCGGAUUUACUGGGCGUAAAGGAUGCGUAGGCGGAUUUUUAAGUGAGAUGUGAAAUACCCGGGCUCAACUUGGGUGCUGCAUUUCAAACUGGAAGUCUAGAGUGCAGGAGAGGAAAGUGGAAUUCCUAGUGUAGCGGUGAAAUGCGUAGAGAUUAGGAAGAACACCAGUGGCGAAGGCGACUUUCUGGACUGUAACUGACGCUGAGGCAUGAAAGCGUGGGUAGCAAACAGGAUUAGAAACCCGAGUAGUCCA